UACGGGGGGAGCGAGCGUUGUUCGGAAUCACUGGGCGUAAAGGGCGCGUAGGCGGCUGAAUAAGUCAGAGGUGAAAUCCCAGGGCUUAACCUUGGAAUUGCCUUUGAUACUGCUCGGCUAGAGGACGGAAGAGGAUAGUGGAAUUCCUGGUGUAGCGGUGAAAUGCGUAGAUAUCAGGAAGAACACCGGUGGCGGAGGCGGCUAUCUGGUCCGUUACUGACGCUGAGGCGCGAAAGCCAGGGGAGCAAACGGG
rnacentral:rRNA from 1 species